AGCAAGGGCUUAACAUGAGGUAUC
rnacentral:siRNA from 1 species